rnacentral:sRNA from 1 species
AUUAAAAAAAUAGUAUAAUUUAGAAAAAAUCAUUUGUGACUAAAGGAAAUAUCAAUAUUUAAAGUGGGUUAUUUGGCAUAUGACCUGACAUACCACUACAUUUUUGUAGGGUGCAGUCAAUGUAGACAUUGCUGACUAGUAAAGACUAGUUUAAAUAUUUUCUAUAACUUAACUUACAGCCCAUCCUCCCUAUGGGCUAUCAACACUAGAUCACUAUAACAAUCCCCUGUCCUGGGUCAUCCUUUCCAUUUCAUUCCAGGUGUAAAUAAACUUUAAGAAGGUGCCCACCUCUAAUUCAUGUCUCCAGAUGCUUUUUGGACACCCUCUAACUCGAAAAUGAUUAUUCUACCAUCUUGCUGAUAUCAAUCCAUCAACAACGUUUGUUUGUUCUACAUGCUUCGGAUGUUCCUUCAGGGUUGAAGAUAAUUUACUUCCUAGCCUAAGCCUCCCACAGGAUGUCGAGGGAUGGCAGCAGAGGGGAUAUGAGCCCAGGACAAUCGAGAUGACUGAACGACAUUCCAUCGCACAUACCGCACUACCUGGCUAACAUCUGUAUUUAUAGAUCUCAUCAUCAUUAUCUAUCCUUGACUUUCGUCAUAGGGAUGCUGCGACAGUUCGCCUAACCCAAAUCCAUCCACUUUUCCUGGUCAGAAGCUGUUCUUAGCAGGAUAGCAAGAGAGAGGCCGGUCCAUUCUUUUAUGUUAUCCAGCCAGCUUUUCUUUGGACACUUUCCUCGUGCUCCCUCCACUGUACCUUGAAGAAUGACUUUUGAGAGUAGAGCCUAAUUGUUUACUCCAAUUGUUAGCAGUGAUUUGCUCUGGACUCUAAGCUUCAAGCAGGUCCAGCAAUGUGGACUUCAAUAUAUUCAGUCUCACUGUAUCCACUUCUUUAACAUUUCCCAUUGUUUUCUUCAUUAUUAUUAUCAUCAAACUUUCAAGGCAGCAUGAUGGCCCACUGUUUAGUACUAAUUACUCUACAUGAUGCUAACUUUUUUUCUUUUAGUAGUCCAACCUUAAUACAAUAAUAAUGGCUUCCAAAUAUCUAGCUACUAAACUAGAGCUAUGAACCCAGUUACUUUGGUUUUAAGAAAUGGCAUAAUAAUAAUAAAUCUGUUUUCUAGUUACCUUUAAAAUACAAGCUGUCUCCCUCUGUUGAUCAAAUUGGGAAACUGACACAGAUGUGAAGCUUAUACAGUGAACAAUGCAAUGUAUAUAAAUAAAGCGAAUGGCUGUUCUACUGAUUUAAUUAACUGUUUAGUUCUUAAUGAGAAAUGUUUAUAGUUCAUGUUUUUUAUGAAUGUAAUGCUGUGUUGGAUUUCAAAACUCUACCUCUCUGUGUCUUAUAAGGUCUACAGUUUCUUAACACUAAUGAAUUGGUUUACUAUGCCUGAUGUUUAUACACAUUUGAAUUCAUUGUUUCCAUUUUUAUUUAGACUUUUAAAUACAUUCUCAGUUGACUCUUCAUUUCAUGUUCUCUAUUUGGCUCAACUUUUUAAAUAGUCAUUUCUUGAAACCACUAUUGAAACUUGAAAGCUGUUCUUACUUUCCCUGUUUAUUGUGUUAUCAAGAUAAUUGAAUUUGUUGUGAUAAGUCCAUUUUAUUAUAUUCCAUUCGAUGUAUUGGUUUCAUUUCUUUUAGGUAUUUAAAAUGUUUGCUUGCUGAACUAUCUUCUUUGUAUUCCAGAGUUGCCAUAGUAACCCUCCAUAAGUUAUCCUCCUCCCUUUAUUUUUUGUAAGUCUGUCUAAUGUAAGUGCUCAGUUAAUCAAUACUUAAUUACACAAUUGUUAAAAGUAUUUAUGUGCCAAUGUAUUUAUCUUUAUGAGAAAAUGUUUGUUCUAAAUUUAAUAUUACGUAUGUUUUUUUUUUUAUAAAUUUAUGUUACUCUUUGGCUAAUAAUUCUGAAGUAAUACUUUUUAAUUAGAGUCAAAAUGAAAGAACAAAAAGUAAUGUGAAAUGAAAAAUAGUUUAUCAAGUUAUUACAUGAUAUUUGAGUGGCCAAAACAAGAUAAUAGUCAUAUCGUAAUAAAAUUACACACAACUGCAGAUGACAACACAUUGAUAUCUUUUUUUUCCCUAUUUGUUGGUCUUCAGUAGUAUACACAUUCAAAUACACAUUCAAAUACACA